rnacentral:rRNA from 1 species
CUAUACAUGCAGUCGAGCGAACGGACGAGAAGCUUGCUUCUCUGAUGUUAGCGGCGGACGGGUGAGUAACACGUGGAUAACCUACCUAUAAGACUGGGAUAACUUCGGGAAACCGGAGCUAAUACCGGAUAAUAUUUUGAACCGCAUGGUUCAAAAGUGAAAGACGGUCUUGCUGUCACUUAUAGAUGGAUCCGCGCUGCAUUAGCUAGUUGGUAAGGUAACGGCUUACCAAGGCAACGAUGCAUAGCCGACCUGAGAGGGUGAUCGGCCACACUGGAACUGAGACACGGUCCAGACUCCUACGGGAGGCAGCAGUAGGGAAUCUUCCGCAAUGGGCGAAAGCCUGACGGAGCAACGCCGCGUGAGUGAUGAAGGUCUUCGGAUCGUAAAACUCUGUUAUUAGGGAAGAACAUAUGUGUAAGUAACUGUGCACAUCUUGACGGUACCUAAUCAGAAAGCCACGGCUAACUACGUGCCAGCAGCCGCGGUAAUACGUAGGUGGCAAGCGUUAUCCGGAAUUAUUGGGCGUAAAGCGCGCGUAGGCGGUUUUUUAAGUCUGAUGUGAAAGCCCACGGCUCAACCGUGGAGGGUCAUUGGAAACUGGAAAACUUGAGUGCAGAAGAGGAAAGUGGAAUUCCAUGUGUAGCGGUGAAAUGCGCAGAGAUAUGGAGGAACACCAGUGGCGAAGGCGACUUUCUGGUCUGUAACUGACGCUGAUGUGCGAAAGCGUGGGGAUCAAACAGGAUUAGAUACCCUGGUAGUCCACGCCGUAAACGAUGAGUGCUAAGUGUUAGGGGGUUUCCGCCCCUUAGUGCUGCAGCUAACGCAUUAAGCACUCCGCCUGGGGAGUACGACCGCAAGGUUGAAACUCAAAGGAAUUGACGGGGACCCGCACAAGCGGUGGAGCAUGUGGUUUAAUUCGAAGCAACGCGAAGAACCUUACCAAAUCUUGACAUCCUUUGACAACUCUAGAGAUAGAGCUUUCCCCUUCGGGGGACAAAGUGACAGGUGGUGCAUGGUUGUCGUCAGCUCGUGUCGUGAGAUGUUGGGUUAAGUCCCGCAACGAGCGCAACCCUUAAGCUUAGUUGCCAUCAUUAAGUUGGGCACUCUAAGUUGACUGCCGGUGACAAACCGGAGGAAGGUGGGGAUGACGUCAAAUCAUCAUGCCCCUUAUGAUUUGGGCUACACACGUGCUACAAUGGACAAUACAAAGGGCAGCGAAACCGCGAGGUCAAGCAAAUCCCAUAAAGUUGUUCUCAGUUCGGAUUGUAGUCUGCAACUCGACUACAUGAAGCUGGAAUCGCUAGUAAUCGUAGAUCAGCAUGCUACGGUGAAUACGUUCCCGGGUCUUGUACACACCGCCCGUCACACCACGAGAGUUUGUAACACCCGAAGCCGGUGGAGUAACCUUUUAGGAGCUAGCCGUCGAAG